AAAAUUCUUACUGCAGUUGUUUGAUGAACUUGUGAAAAACUGGAGCGAGAGGUUUAAUAUCUGAUACGUCCCCCAUCCGGGGACUACAUAUUAAAUGGAUUUUUAGAUCAUGGAGCUGGAGCCGGGGCUUGCUCCGUCCACUCCAAGCAUCGGCCUGGUAUUGCAGUGUCUCCAGGAACGGUGUGCUUUCC